UACGUAGGGUGCGAGCGUUAAUCGGAAUUACUGGGCGUAAAGCGUGCGCAGGCGGCUUUGCAAGACAGAUGUGAAAUCCCCGGGCUUAACCUGGGAACUGCAUUUGUGACUGCAAGGCUGGAGUGCGGCAGAGGGGGAUGGAAUUCCGCGUGUAGCAGUGAAAUGCGUAGAUAUGCGGAGGAACACCGAUGGCGAAGGCAAUCCCCUGGGCCUGCACUGACGCUCAUGCACGAAAGCGUGGGGAGCAAACAGG
rnacentral:rRNA from 1 species